GACGAACGCUGGCGGCGUGCUUAACACAUGCCAGUCGAACGGAAAGGCCCUGCUUUUGUGGGGUGCUCGAGUGGCGAACGGGUGAGUAACACGUGAGUAACCUGCCCUUGACUUUGGGAUAACUUCAGGAAACUGGGGCUAAUACCGGAUAGGAGCUCCUGCUGCAUGGUGGGGGUUGGAAAGUUUCGGCGGUUGGGGAUGGACUCGCGGCUUAUCAGCUUGUUGGUGGGGUAGUGGCUUACCAAGGCUUUGACGGGUAGCCGGCCUGAGAGGGUGACCGGCCACAUUGGGACUGAGAUACGGCCCAGACUCCUACGGGAGGCAGCAGUGGGGAAUAUUGCACAAUGGGCGGAAGCCUGAUGCAGCAACGCCGCGUGCGGGAUGACUGCCUUCGGGUUGUAAACCGCUUUCGCCUGUGACGAAGCGUGAGUGACGGUAAUGGGUAAAGAAGCACCGGCUAACUACGUG
rnacentral:rRNA from 1 species